GUGCNAGCGUUNAUCGGAAUNACUGGGCGUAAAGGGCNCGCNGGCNNNUGAUUAAGUGAGAUGUGAAAGCCCCGGGCUUNACCUGGGNAUUGCAUUUCAUACUGGUCUACUAGAGUACUUUAGGGAGGGNUAGAAUUCCACGUGUAGCGGUGAAAUGCGUAGAGAUGUGGAGGAAUACCGAAGGCGAAGGCAGCCCCUUGGGAAUGUACUGACGCUCAUGUGCNAAAGCGUGGGGAGCAAACAGGAUUAGAUACCCUGGUAGUCCACGCUGUAAACGCUGUCGAUUUGGGGAUUGGGCUGUGAGUCUGGUGCCCNAAGCUAACGUGAUAAAUCGACCGCCUGGGG
rnacentral:rRNA from 1 species